rnacentral:rRNA from 1 species
GAUGAACGCUGGCGGCGUGCUUAACACAUGCAAGUCGAACGAAGCACUUUAUUUGAUUUCCUUCGGGACUGAUUAUUUUGUGACUGAGUGGCGGACGGGUGAGUAACGCGUGGGUAACCUGCCUUGUACAGGGGGAUAACAGUUGGAAACGGCUGCUAAUACCGCAUAAGCGCACAGCAUCACAUGAUGCAGUGUGAAAAACUCCGGUGGUAUGAGAUGGACCCGCGUCUGAUUAGCUUGUUGGCAGGGUAACGGCUACCAAGGCAACGAUCAGUAGCCGACCUGAGAGGGUGACCGGCACAUUGGGACUGAGACAGGCCCAGACUCCUACGGGAGCAGCAGUGGGGAAUA